rfam:Tupaia chinensis contig236720, whole genome shotgun sequence.
AUUGCUUCCCAAUCUUUUGGCUAAGAUAUAGUGUAGUAUCUGUUCUUAUUUUAAUAUCUGAUAUGUCCUCUAGCCAAGGACAAUAUAGUACAUGGAUUUGGGGAUCAGAGAGAUGAAAUAGGUGUUUGGUCCAUCCACUGUACAUGUCGACCUGGUAUUUCAGUACCUCCAGAAUGCUACACCCCUU